UUUUCUAUCUCGUUACAUAAUAAACCAUGAAGCACGGAUUCACGGACACAUGUCCAACACGAUGUUCACCGCAUGUCUGAGAAUUCUUGGUAUAAAAAACAUGUCUGACACGUGGAUACGACAUUCAUUGGAAGUGUCCGUACUUCCUAAUAAAUCAAAAAAUAAUUGAAUCUUCCAUAUGUAUCCACUUUUUUUCACGCAUUUGUUUUCCAUCUUGUUGGGUUUAGACGACGCACAAAUACGUUCAACCAAAGUCCACUGCACCCUAGUUGGAUGCAUAUACUGAAAUACGAAGAAAAACACCAUAAAAUUGAAAAUUUAUAUAAUUAAAUACUACUAAAAAAACAACACAGACCUCUAAAGAAA
rnacentral:lncRNA from 1 species